rnacentral:rRNA from 1 species
GGGGAAUAUUGCGCAAUGGGGGCAACCCUGACGCAGCCAUGCCGCGUGAAUGAAGAAGGCCUUCGGGUUGUAAAGUUCUUUCGGUAGCGAGGAAGGCAUUUAGUUUAAUAAACUAGGUGAUUGACGUUAACUACAGAAGAAGCACCGGCUAACUCCGCGCCAGCAGCCGCGGUAAUACGGAGGGUGCGAGCGUUAAUCGGAAUAACUGGGCGUAAAGGGCACGCAGGCGGUGACUUAAGUGAGGUGUGAAAGCCCCGGGCUUAACCUGGGAAUUGCAUUUCAUACUGGGUCGCUAGAGUACUUUAGGGAGGGGUAGAAUUCCACGUGUAGCGGUGAAAUGCGUAGAGAUGUGGAGGAAUACCGAAGGCGAAGGCAGCCCCUUGGGAAUGUACUGACGCUCAUGUGCGAAAGCGUGGGGAGCAAACAGGAUUAGAUACCCUGGUAGUCCACGCUGUAAACGAUGUCGAUUUGGGGGUUGAGCUUUGAGCUUGGCGCCCGUAGCUAACGUGAUAAAUCGACCGCCUGGGGAGUACGGCCGCAAGGUUA